GCCAGUGUGGCAUAGUGGUUUGAGUGUCAGACUAUAACUCUGGAGACCAGGGUUCAAAUUCCAGCACUGUCA